UUUCCUGGAUUUCUGCCUUCCUUUCUGUCCCGUUUCCCGCGGGCUCUGCGGGAUUCCCGCAUUCCCAGCAAUUCCUGGCCGUGCACGUUCCGGAGCGGCGCCAGUUCUGGCUGGGCCUGACGGACGAGCCCAGCGAGGGCUCCUGGCACUGGGUCACCGGGGCGGCCCUGCAGCUCCAGUUCUGGAACAGCGGCGAACCCAACGACGUCGGCCACCACGGCGAGGACUGUGCCGGGAUCUACUCCAACGGCCUCUGGAACGACCUGCCCUGCUUCAGCCCCGAGCGCUGGAUCUGUGAGCGGCCCUGCUGACCCUCCCCCCGCUCCGAAAUCCACCGAAAUCCGGCAAAAUCCGGCAAAAUCCAACAGAAAACCACCGUCCGCCGGGAAAAUCCGCCCGUUUGGGGCGGAAAACCUCCAAAAACGGGGCUCGGGAUCCGCCCAAAGUCUUCCCAAAAAUCUUCCCCCAAGCGGGAAGUGCUGCUGGAGUGGGGGUGGAACAGCAGGGGGGAGAUUUUUGGGGGCGUUUGGGGGUUUUUUGAGGAUUUACUCCCAUUUUUGGAGGUUGUGACGUUGCUGAUCGAUUAAUCGGGAAAAUGGCAAUGAAUGGAGAGCUUUGGUUGGGAUUUGACCCCAAACGGCUCCCAAAAUCUUCCCCAAAAAAUCGGGAAGUGCUGCUGGAGUGGGGGUGGAACAGCAGGGGGAGAUUUUUGGGGGUUUUUUGGAGUUUAUUCCCGUUUUUGGAGGUGAUGAGUUUUUGUGGCCAAUUAAUCAGGGAAAUGUUAAUAAAUGGAGAAUUUUGAUUCUGA